GAUGUUUUAAAGGAUCUGUGCAGGCUGUUCUCACUGGACUGGACCGCCCACGGGAGGGGCCGCAGCUGAGUGGGGUUCAGGAUGGCGUUCGGAGAAGAAGAACCGGGGGUGCCAGCAGUCACCAUCAGAGAGGAGAAGGAGAAUGACCCCAGAUGAAGGUAAUGAGAAGCGAAGAAAGUAUGAAAUGCAGAGGGAAGCCCAGAAGAAACGGAGUUUGCAAAUACGUGGAGAAUUAGAGUCCUAACAAUAAAGAAAUCAGGAGGAGGAGCGCCUCAUUCAUCUGUUUGGAUCACCACUACCCAGCCGUGCUGUAGGCACUGUGACUCGGUUUACUUGGUGAUAAAGCUUGAAUUAUAGAGAAUAUUCUCUGCCCAUUGUGUUACGUCUUCACCUAACAUCAGUCACAUGAGAGACUUCUUCCCCCCACCUCCCACUCAAACACUCAAAGAUGCCUGGUCCUGAGGCAGAUCCCCCUGCUUGAGCCCAAGACCCCAGUGGAGAGGAGGGUAUGUCUGCUGCCCCUCCAUUCCCAAGUCCCACCUGGCUUCCUGAGAAGAUACGACAAUGUGGUCUCACUUUCUGUACCACUUCCCCGCUGCCCUCCCCGAACACAGCAAUU